rnacentral:rRNA from 1 species
ACAGGUAUUUUCCUCGGAACAGCGGAGACAGGUGGUGCAUGGUUGUCGUCAGCUCGUGUCGUGAGAUGUUGGGUUAAGUCCCGCAACGAGCGCAACCCUUAUCCUCAGUAGCCAGCGGCCAGGCCGGGCACUCUGUGGAGACUGCCAGGGACAACCUGGAGGAAGGCGGGGAUGACGUCAAAUCAUCAUGCCCCUUAUGACUUGGGCGACACACGUGCUACAAUGGCGUAAACAAAGGGAUGCGAAGGGGCGACCUGGAGCGAACUCCAAAAAUAACGUCCCAGUUCGGAUUGUAGUCUGCAACCCGACUACAUGAAGCUGGAAUCGCUAGUAAUCGCGAAUCAGAAUGUCGCGGUGAAUACGUUCCCGGGUCUUGUACACACCGCCCGUCACACCAUGGGAGCCGGUAACGCCCGAAGUCGGUGACCCAACCGUAAGGAGGGAGCCGCCGAAGGCGGGACUGGUAACUGGGGUGAAGUCGUAACAAGGUAGCCGUAUCGGAAGGUGCG